rnacentral:rRNA from 1 species
UACGUAGGGGGCAAGCGUUGUCCGGAUUUAUUGGGCGUAAAGAGCGUGUAGGCGGCCAGACAGGUCCGUUGUGAAAACUAGAGGCUUAACCUCUAGACGUCGAUGGAAACCGUCUGGCUAGAGUCCGGAAGAGGAGAAUGGAAUUCCUGGUGUAGCGGUGAAAUGCGCAGAUAUCAGGAAGAACACCCGUGGCUAAGGCGACUACCUGGCCUGUUUCUUGACGCUGAGGCGCGAAAGCUAGGGGAGCAAACGGG